AGUUAAUCUAACCUAUGGAUGGGCAUAACCUCGGGAAACUGAGAAUAAUACCCAAUAGACCACAGUGCCUGGAAUGGCCUGUGGUUCAAAUGAUUUAUCGCCGUAGGAUGGGACUGCGGCCUAUCAGCUAGUUGGUGAGGUAAUGGCCCACCAAGGCUAUAACAGGUACGGGCUCUGAGAGGAGGGGCCCGGAGAUGGGUACUGAGACACGGACCCAGGCCCUAUGGGGCGCAGCAGGCGAGAAACCUUUGCAAUGUGCGAAAGCACGACAAGGUUAAUCCGAGUGUCUCCCGCUAAGGGAGUCUUUUGUCAGUUCUAGAACCACUGGUGAAUAAGGGGUGGGCAAGUUCUGGUGUCAGCCGCCGCGGUAAAACCAGCACCUCGAGUGGUCAGGAGGUUUAUUGGGCCUAAAGCAUCCGUAGCCGGUUGCAUAAGUUUUCGGUUAAAUCUAUGCGCUUAACGUAUAGGCCGCCGAAAAUACUGUGCAGCUAGGGAGUGGGAGAGGUACACGGUACUCGAUAGGAAGGGGUAAAAUCCUUUGAUCUAUUGAUGACCACCUGUGGCGAAGGCGGUGUACCAGAACACGUUCGACGGUGAGGGAUGAAAGCUGGGGGAGCAAACCGGAUUAGAUACCCGGGUAGUCCCAGCUGUAAACGAUGCAGACUCGGUGAUGCAUUGGCUUGUGGCCAAUGCAGUGCCGCAGGGAAGCCGUUAAGUCUGCCGCCUGGGAAGUACGUACGCAAGUAUGAAACUUAA
rnacentral:rRNA from 1 species